CUGCAUGUGGAGGAGAGGGAAAGGGGAUUUGGUUGUGGGGAAGGUGAGAAAUCACAGGGUUUUAAAUAUCAGACAUGUUUCCUUGCAACUGUCCAAUAGCCCUGACUUUGCUACAUGCUGAGUCCUGCUGUUCAUUUCUGAUUUCACACAGUUUUGAACUCUUGACAUUGGCACAUCCCAGCUCCCACACUUUGUCAGAAGUCAAGGCCAUCUAAGAACCGGGCUGCUGGAGCUGAGAUUCUCAUCUGAUGGUCAGCCAGAGAAGGUGUGAUAGAGUGAAAAACCCAGGAUUUCCAUACAAGAGACCUAGUUUUGAAUCCUGGCAACUAACACUUAUUAAAUCUGUGACCUUGCAUUACCAUGUAACAUGAGGCUGCUUCUCCCGAUACAGCUGAGAUUGAAAUGUCACAGCAGCAUGAUCAAUUAGAUGAUGGAGAAGAGAGGCAUUUGCUACCUGACCUUAAUCUACAGGGCAGGAGUGACUGCAUGGAGAAGACUGAAUAUAGAGAGACUCCAAGGCAGAGGAAAGCAGCAGAGUGGGGUUUGAAUGGGCACAAAGCAGCAUACAUAUUGACUCGUGACGAAAAGGACAUCCUCAGGAUAAAGGCUUAUUAUAACGUGUACUGGUUGGUUCACUUACUCAUUCAGUUCUGACUGAGGACAAAAUAAACACCUUUAACAACAACAAAAAAAUAUGGUAGUAAAGGAAGCAGCAUAAAUUGAUCAUGCAAAGCACCGUUCCGACCACAGACUGGUCUCUCCAGGCCGCCGCGAGACAGAGGCCUCAUCUCCCGGGUGGACGCAGAUGCCUAAGCGUGGUUCAGCAUUCAGACGUUCAUUAUCCAGCCUGUCCCCCUUCGACACAUGGCUUUUAGAUCGUCCCUGCUUAUUACUGUUCCGCCAGAAGCAGGGCCAUUAAAGGAGGAAGAGGUCUUCAGAUGACUGUAAUGCCUUACAAAGAAAAACCACUGUGAGACUGCCAUCAGG